GACGAACGCUGGCGGCGUGCUUAACACAUGCAAGUCGAACGGUAAGGCCCUUCGGGGUACACGAGUGGCGAACGGGUGAGUAACACGUGGGUGAUCUGCCCUGCACUUCGGGAUAAGCCUGGGAAACUGGGUCUAAUACCGGAUAGGACUCCGGACUGCAUGGUCUGGGGUGGAAAGCUUUUGCGGUGUGGGAUGGGCCCGCGGCCUAUCAGCUUGUUGGUGGGGUGCUGGCCUACCAAGGCGACGACGGGUAGCCGGCCUGCGACGGUGACCGGCCACACUGGGACUGAGAUACGGCCCAGACUCCUACGGGAGGCAGCAGUGGGGAAAAGUGCACAAUGGGCGCAAGCCUGAGGCAGCGACGCCGCGUGAGGGAUGACGGCCUUCGGGUUGUAAACCUCUUUCAGUAGGGACGAAGCGAAAGUGACGGUACCUAAAGAAGAAGCACCGGCUAACGACGUGCCAGCCGCCGCGGUAA
rnacentral:rRNA from 1 species